rnacentral:rRNA from 1 species
UCCAGCUCCAAUAGCGUAUAUUAAAGUUGUUGCAGUUAAAACGCUCGUAGUCGGAUUUCGGGGCGGGGCCGCCGGUCUGCCGAUGGGUAUGCACUGGCGGGCGCGUCCUUCCUUCCGGAGACUGGCCCUACUCUUAACUGAGCGGGGUCGGGAAUCGGAUCGUUUACUUUGAAAAAAUCAGAGUGUUUCAAGCAGGCAGCUCGCUCUUGCAUGGAUUAGCAUGGGAUAAUGAAAUAGGACUUUGGUGCUAUUUUGUUGGUUUCGAACACCGAAGUAAUGAUUAACAGGGACAGUCAGGGGCACUCGUAUUCCGCAGAGAGAGGUGAAAUUCUCGGAUU